AUUAAAGUAAGUUAAAUUUGUAAGCACUAAACAAAAUGCGUUUAUCAUUUUUGGCAGUGAGUAUUGCCAUCAUCUUUGUUUUGGCAAUUGUGCACUCUCCUGUAGAAGCAACUGCUGUCAAUCUGAAAGCGUUGUCCCCAACACAGCUUUAUGAGAAGAUUAAACAUGUACUACACCAAGGAUUAAGAGCACUUUGUAAUAAUUUGGAGGAUUUUGCUGCAUUUUGUGAAAUGCUGGAUCGUAUUAGAGAUUAAGUGUGUCGAUCAGUAUAGCAGGACCUAUGCGACAUAUGAUGUGUAUAAUAUUUGUUUGAUUUAUAAUAAUAACAUGUGUGCACACAAUACAUUCGGAUCUAUAUAAAAUAAAAUAAAUAUAAUCUUAGCGUCAGUAAAACAUGCUGUUUUUUGUACAAAACAUACUAACAACCGUAAUUAAAUAUCACUUCUUGUCUCCUUUUUAACUUGUACACAUUCUCAAAUGUCAUGAAAUAAAAUUAGUAGGUAAAACUGGUAAUAAUUUGAUGA